UGUAUGGACUUAUCUAACUCUGGGGGAUACGGUGAAUAAGCUAAAGUCCCAAUAAGUCGCCGUGUUCCUUUAAAGGCACAAUUCAUAAUCUAAAUGGAAGGAAAACCAAAAAAGUAAAAAAUAAAUAAACUUGGAAUAUGUUAUCCUUCCCACAUUGAUUGACAUAACUGUUAAUGCACUGAUUACCACUAGACAGCAACCAUAUGGAAGUCAGUCAUUUUUUCUGGGCCUGUAUUUAUUAAAGUUUUAGAUUUAAGUAAAAUAAAAAUAAAAAUAAAAUAAUUGUCACUUUUACUUUACUUUUAACAAACUUAAGAGUAAAAGCUAUUUAUCUAAUUUCUUACAACUUAAAUGCUCUUAACAUUGUAUGUGUAUGUCAGCGUGGUCCUAUAUUGUCUGAUGUACAUUUCCUAUUAUUUCACCCCUAUACAUCAUAAGAUUGUUGUUGAGUUGUUCAUUCCACAUGUUUAUUAUUAAUAAAGAUAUUAAGGAUGUUAAACAUAUCAUAUCACUGAGUAAAAUGUAAAGAUCUUUUUAAACAAAGAAUAAGCAAUUUGACAGAUCCUUGUCUUUGAGUUCUUGAGUUAACUUGUCUCUAGAGAGUUUUUAAGCAAAUUCUUAGAAGUUUGAUUAAUACGGGUCCAGGUUUGUUUAUAUCAAUAAUGUUUACAGUAAUUACGUUCAUUUGAGAAAAAAACACAAUGAUAAUUUUAUCUCUAAAUCAAACUAUUAAUGAAUAUUCUUCAAAGUUAUGUGGUCCAAAAAAACGGGAUUUAUAGAGUAUUCAAAGCAAAUUGGAACGUAUUCAACUAAACAUUUUCAAAAUAUUCAAAGAGAAACCUUGAAAUAAUCAAAGAUUUGGGCUUCAAGUGGAUUGUUGUGAUUUUUGUG